rnacentral:lncRNA from 1 species
CUGGGAUUAUAGGCAUGAGCCACCGUGCCCGGCCUGAUUGUGAUUAUUUUUUAAUAGAGACAGAGUCUCGCUUGCCCAGAUUGCAGUGCACUUGUGCCAUCAUUGACUCACUUGCAGUCUCAACCUCCCAGGCUCAAGCAAUCCUCCUGACUCAGCCUCCCGAGUAGCUGCGAUCACAAGUGAAUGCCACCACAAAUAAAAGAUAAAUUUGAUGUAUAUAUAGAAAUAUAUCAAACUAAUUUUUUUAUUAUUAUUUUUUAUUUUUGUAGAGACAGGAUCUUGUCAUUUUGCCCAGCCUGGUCGGUCUCAAACUCCUAGGCUCAAGCAAUCCUCCUGCCUUGGCCUCCCAAAAUGUUGGAAUUACAGACGUGAGCCAUCGCACCCAGCUUAGUUUAUUAUUUUCAUUUUUUCUUGUGUUAAUUUCCUACUGACGUCUUUCACCAUUUUGUCUCAUGGGACUGAGGUGAUGCUCUCAUAUAUAUAUUUACCUACUUUUAUAUGGUAUAAGUAGUAACUUUUUGACAAUUAAAAAAAUAGUCAUACUGGUCAGGUGUUUCUCCUUUUAAAUCUUGGUUUAGUUAGGUUUGUGCUAAUCUGAAUCGGGCUGCCAUGUACUUUGUUCAUAUCUCACUAUGCUACUCAUAAGGUUGUGCUGUAAUUACUGGUUUACUUGUCCUCUCCUAUUGAGCUAUGAGCUCCUUUCUUUAUACCCAGCAUCUUCCGUAGGGUCUGCUACAUAAUAUUUGCUCAAAAUUGCUUGUUGAGGUUUUAGAAAAAAAAAAACACAUUUGAGCGAAAGAAUGAAAUGAAGGAGUGUACUGCAGUGAUACCACCAUUUUCGAUUUCAAGAACUGGAGGGAGACCUGAACUUUCUUCCUUCAACCAGGAAGCCAUAGGAAAAACCUCUGGCUGACCCUGUAGGGAAGUUGGAGAGCAGGACUUCCUCUCUCCCCUGGGGCCUCACCCAGGACUCCGAGGCCCUACUUAGAGAGCCCCUGGGGGUCUGGGUGGGUAGCUGCUUUCCUUUGGCGCCACUUUCUGGGCAAAAGAUUCCAGUGUUUGGAUUUUAUUAGCCAAUAAAAUUAGGGGGAAAAUGCUGGAAAAAAAAUCACAGCACACUGUUGUUACUCUUGUGAAUGAAUAACAUAACUGGCAACUACACUAUUAAUGUCUAAAUGGAUUUUCUGUGCUCCAAGCCAAAACACAUUUCAUAAAGUUACACAGAGAUGGAUAGUAUCCCAGUUAAUAAAAACAGUUGUGGGUGAAGGAUGCAUGGUCCAACAGAAGGGGCACUGAUUGAUGCUAGGUUGCUGGAAUUUUUGCAUUUAUUUUUUUCUUUGUGUUUCAUGACA